AAAAGGGGGGUGUGGGUUCGUUANUAUUUUUUUGAUAGAAAAAGAAAAAAANGAAAGAAUCAGCGAAUUUUUUUUCUGUUUUUUUUUACAAAAAAAUGGCAGAAAGUCUCCCCCACCCCCCCCCAACACAACGGUAAUAAGUAGGUCUCUAGUUUUUUGUUGAUUAAUGAAAAGAGAGGGAGUCCAAUUUUNGAGUGAAUAUGAGUCGAAUCCGUUCCAUUGGGCAGGAUAAUGAAAAAGAAACAAAUGAAUUUGAGACAGAAGAGGAGAGGNAACGAAACUNNNNNNCAGGGGUGGAAAGNUAGAUAUAUGGAAGAACACCAGUGGCGAAGGGGGCUCUUUGGNNNGCAACUGACGCUGAGGCUCGAAAACAUGGGUAGCGAACAGGAUUAGAUACCCUGGUAGUCCAUGCCGUAAACGAUGAGUGCUAAGUGUUGGGAGGUUUCCNCCUCCNCNGUGCUGCAGCUAACGCAUUAAGCACUCCGCCUGGGGAGUACGACCGCAAGGUUG
rnacentral:rRNA from 1 species